rnacentral:rRNA from 1 species
AGCGAACGCUGGCGGCAGGCCUAACACAUGCAAGUCGAACGAAAAUUUCGGGGUUCGUGGUGGACGGGUGAGUAAUAGGGGGGAACGUGGUUUUAUGUUCGGAACUACCUAGGGAAACUUGUUCUCUUAUCGAAUGGGCCCCUCGGGCGAAAGAUCUAUCGCCGUUCGAGGGGGUGGCGUUUGUUGAGCUAGUUGGUGGAGGUAAUGGCGCUCCAAUGCGAGGAUCUGUAGCUGGUCUGCGAGAAUGAUCAGCCACAUUGGGCCUGAGACGCGGCCGAAACUCGUACGGGAGGCGGCAGUGGGGAAUCUUGCGCAAUGGGCGAAAGGCUGACGAAGCCAGGCCGCGUGAAUGAUGAAGGUGUUGGGAUUGUGAAAUUCUUUCACCGGGGACGAUAGUGACGGUACCCGGAGAAGAAGCCCCGGCUAACUUCGUG